CCUACGGGUGGCAGCAGUGGGGAAUAUUGGACAAUGGGCGAAAGCCUGAUCCAGCCAUGCCGCGUGUGUGAAGAAGGCCUUCGGGUUGUAAAGCACUUUCAGUGGGGAAGAAAGCCUUGGGGCUAAUACCCUCGAGGAAGGACAUCACCCACAGAAGAAGCACCGGCUAACUCCGUGCCAGCAGCCGCGGUAAUACGGAGGGUGCGAGCGUUAAUCGGAAUUACUGGGCGUAAAGUGCGCGUAGGCGGUCUGAUAAGCCGGUUGUGAAAGCCCCGGGCUCAACCUGGGAACGGCAUCCGGAACUGUCAGGCUAGAGUGCAGGAGAGGAAGGUAGAAUUCCCGGUGUAGCGGUGAAAUGCGUAGAGAUCGGGAGGAAUACCAGUGGCGAAGGCGGCCUUCUGGACUGACACUGACGCUGAGGUGCGAAAGCGUGGGUAGCAAACAGGAUUAGAUACCCUAGUAGUC
rnacentral:rRNA from 1 species